rnacentral:rRNA from 1 species
UGGGGAAUAUUGCACAAUGGCGGGAACUCUGAUGCAGCGACGCCGCGUGAGUGAUGAAGGACUUCGUUUCGUAAAACUCUGUUCUAUGGGAAGAAAAGGACUGUACCAUAGGAGAAAGCUCCGGCUAAAUACGUGCCAGCAGCCGCGGUAAUACGUAUGGAGCGAGCGUUGUCCGGAAUUAUUGGGCGUAAAGGGUGCGCAGGCGGCUUUACAAGUUGGAUGUGAAAUAUUGUGGCUCAACCACAAACGUGCAUCCAAAACUGCAAAGCUUGAGUUAAGGAGAGGUAAGUGGAAUUCCUGGUGUAGCGGUGGAAUGCGUAGAUAUCAGGAGGAAUACCGGUGGCGAAGGCGACUUACUGGACUUAAACUGACGCUCAGGCACGAAAGCGUGGGGAGCAAACAGG